rnacentral:lncRNA from 1 species
AUAUAAUAGAAAUUUUUGUAUAUAUCUAUUUUCUUACUUAUGAAAAGUUUAAAAGCUUGGGCUCAAACUGUCAUCGCUUUUUUUUAACAAUCUAACGGCAUUGCAACGUCUUUGUAUAAUGGCCAACUUCAUUUUUCUAUCUCUAUCAUUGACCCAUCACUCAGGUCUCAAAUUGAUAUUCCUUAUCACAUGACAACCCUAUUCCAAGAUUUCAACUGGCUUCCUAUUGUCAUUACAAAAAAAUACUAAUUCGUCAGCCUGCCUUUAAAAUACUUGACAAUCUGGAUCAUUCCUUUCUACAAAUUGCUCAAGGAAAACUUUUCUACAAGAUGUUCCCAGAAUAUUACAUCACAUUGUCUACCUUCAUACUUUUGCAUGGGGUGUACCUAGAGCUGCAUGUACUCAUCCCCAUGUCUUAAGUCUUAAAUCUCAGGCAACAGCUCUAAAAGUUCAAGUAAUAUUAACUUUUUCCCCUGAUUUUUCCUGUUCUUUCUCUUUAGAAAUAUCUUGCAUUGCACAUCUGGGAUCAUAUUCUAUUCCUCCUUUACAAUGUAAGCUCUUUGAAGGUACCCAGGAUGUUAAUACAAGAAAUGUAAUGUGGAAUUAUAGCAAAAGUUGUCACAAAGAAAAACAAUACUUUAUUCAUUUCCAGCAUUUUUAUUGUUAUUAGUUUCAUAUAAAAUGAUAGCUAUGGGACAAGGCACUAAUAAUAGUGAAUUUUAAUUGGCUGAAAUACUUGUGUUCUUUUCUGAUUCAUAUGCUUUCUACAAAAAGAGAAUUGCAAGAUGUACUUUUCUGUCCCUUUUGAAUACUUAAUAACUUAUAGUGUUGCAUUAGACUUAUUGUAAAACAAAAGAUUCAGAGUGCUAUAAAUAUCCUCUAUGGAUUACACCUCUGCUUAUAUCAAUGUGUAUGGGAAUCAUUUAUAGUGUAAACCUUAAAAGCAUUUCCAAAAAUGCUUUGCAUGAAUUUCUACUAAUAGAACACAUAUAAAUGAAAGAGAUGAUCUAAAUUGAUGUUGUUGUCUUCUAUACUUUCAUAUAUUCAGAGUGAUAGCACUCUAUUCUUUCCAUUUCUUUUUAUGCCCUUCUUUAAACAACUGAUUCUAAAGAAAUGAGUUAUUACCUCCACCUACCUAUACUACACAGGCUAUUGCUGACCCAAAUAGCUGGAUUCACAAUGUAAUCACAAGAUAGUAUUUCCUGGGAAUGUGGAAUGUAAUGUUGCUGGAGACUGCAGUCUCAUUAAUGCUGUAACAGUAGUAUACUUUCAUUCUUGGCAUUUUUAUGGAAAAAAAUAUGAAAUUUUACUCAAGAAAACACUGACCAUAUUACCACAGGGACUGGCAGUUCUCUUUUGGAAAAGAAAAAAAAUGAUUUACUAUAUAUAGUCUCAAAUGUAUGAUUAGUGCUAUAUAGAUUUUCCCUGUUUUUGAGUGUUUAUAGUACCAGUAGGUAAGAUCUGAAAACUCAUGUUUUUUUUUUUUAAGGAAAAACUGUACCCUUAAACAUUACAUAAAAAAUGCAUAUCAAAAACUGAUUCCAAAUGAAAAUUUAAAAUGACAAUUCCAUACAACUUUAUGCAACCAUGGAGAUAAAAUUCUAAUUUCAAAUGAAAUCUCAAUAUGAUUUUAAAGGAAAACUGAAAAAAGUACUGAAUGUAACUUCAUU